rnacentral:rRNA from 1 species
AGUGAACGCUGGCGGUAGGCCUAACACAUGCAAGUCGAACGGCAGCACAGUAAGAGCUUGCUCUUACGGGUGGCGAGUGGCGGACGGGUGAGGAAUACAUCGGAAUCUACUUUUUCGUGGGGGAUAACGUAGGGAAACUUGCGCUAAUACCGCAUACGACCUACGGGUGAAAGCAGGGGAUCUUCGGACCUUGCGCGAUUGAAUGAGCCGAUGUCGGAUUAGCUAGUUGGCGGGGUAAAGGCCCACCAAGGCGACGAUCCGUAGCUGGUCUGAGAGGAUGAUCAGCCACACUGGAACUGAGACACGGUCCAGACUCCUACGGGAGGCAGCAGUGGGGAAUAUUGGACAAUGGGCGCAAGCCUGAUCCAGCCAUACCGCGUGGGUGAAGAAGGCCUUCGGGUUGUAAAGCCCUUUUGUUGGGAAAGAAAAGCGGCAGGUUAAUACCCCGCUGUUCUGACGGUACCCAAAGAAUAAGCACCGGCUAACUUCGUG